GGUUUGUGGAUGGGAACUGGUAAAGGGAUAACAUUUGAAAUGUAAACAAAUAAAAUAACCAAUAAAAUUUUUAAAAGAAAUAAAAACACACAAAUAUUAUAAGAAUAUGUUGUUCUAAUCCCAGGUGUGGGCUAUGGGGCAAUUUCAGAUUGUGCACAGCAGCUGACUAUGAUUUGCUUCAUCCUCUAGGAAAGGUGUGAUUUUUGACAGCUGCAGAUAGCUUCUGUGAUUGUGUGAUGUUUGGAAUUCUGGGGACUUUGCACAGGUAUAUAAAUGCUAGAGCCUCUAGAGAAGGGAUGGGUUGUUGGUUGUUGUUGUUGGUUGCUGUUGGGCAUGUGUUAAGUAUUCAUGCACAGAGAAAAAAACAACAGGAAGAAAUUAGCUAUCCUGAUGGCAAAGAUCAAAUGUGCCUUAAGGAACUUAAUGUCUCCAAUUAGCAGGAGUCUAGCAAUUAUGUUGCCCCCCCUUCCUUUCUAUCUUUUCCCUCUCCUAUCUAGUGUUAGGGGUUGAAAGGGUAGAAAAAGUGGGGAGAAGGGUGGAAGAAUAAAGGACCUAUAAUGUGUAAAAUACAGCUACAAUUAUUACUUGUUUUUGUUUUAAAGACUAGUAGUAUAAUCUUUUACUUUAGGUCCUUGGGCUACUAGUCUCUGGUUUUUGGUCAUCCAAGAAGUAUCAGAUGUGGGUUCCAUCUCAUGGAGUGGGCCUUAAAUCCAAUCAGACAUAGUUACUAUGUUAGUUACUCCCAUAAGCACUGGGCCACCAUUGCCCUACCAUAUUUUGUAAGCAGGACAGAUUGUAGGUCAGAGGUUUUGUGGCUAAAUUGGUGUUUACACUUCUCUUUUGGUAGCCUGCACAGCACCUUCCUAAAGUCUGACAUUUUCACUCGAAGCUUAUUGAAGUUAUGUGCAUUUUUUGGUUCAUCAUCAUCUACAGUAUCCACUGUCUAUGAAGUAGAGCUCGCAUGUUACUUGAUGCUCUCAUUUGGUAACAGCUUUGUAACCUGAACUGCCAAACAACUCCAAGGUCAGUCUUUUAAAACCUUUUUCUCCAUUUAUUGACCAGUAAGAUGGGAGAGGCAGAGAUACAGUGAAGCAAGCCCCUGACAGGAUUAUUCUGUAAAAGACUGUUCACCAGGCAGUGGGAAGGGAACAGUAUUUUACCUGACAUGUGGCAAGCAUUCUAGUGGGUUCUGUGACUCACAGAUGAGAGCUGGGCUCAUUCAAUUAAAUUCAUUCAAAUGCUCAGUCAACAUGUACGACAAUUGUCUGGUUUACUCAAACAAAUAUGUAGAGCUACUUAUUCUUUUGCAGGGAUUGAAAUGGAAGUGGUAACAGCUUUGUAGUUUAGUUGGAUGAGCUUCUAUACUUCUGGUUGUAACUUGUUGGUUUAGUGUGUUAGGUUCAGACUACCUGCUCCUAGUACCACAAGGAGCAGGAACCCUUUGGAGUAAGUGCUCUUAUAUUUGUUAUUCUAAAUUCAAUGAGAAAAUUCUCAACUCAUUUCUAGCAUCUAGUUUAUUUUUUUCUGUUAUAAAUGCUUUUUAAACAAAAAAUGAUUUAAAAAUAGAAUGUGGCUUAUUUUCAUAACAAUUUCCUGAAGUGUUUCUUUUUUAAGUAGGUAGUUUCACAGGUAAGAAGCGAUUUUAUUGAAGUUCCAUCAAGUGAGCAGAUCUAUCAAUGUUUGUUGUUUUCUGUAGCUACCUAAUCCCUCAAAUUAAUGUUCCUUGCUUUCGUGAUUUUUAAAAAAUCUUCCUGCAAAGAGACCCAUUAAUUAGUAUGGAAAUUAUGUAUCUGAGGUCUCUAACAUAGUCUGAAAAUACUUGUUGGUCUUUGUUGUGGGAAGAGGAUUCAUCAUGCCCUUUUCAUACACACAUGAGCUUUGAGCAUCUUUAUCUCCUGGGUUAUCUUCUUGUCCUCCUUUCUUCCCCAGCACCAGUCCGUGUAGUCUCCAGCUUGGUUUUAUGGUCCUCCUGUUUCCCAUAGCUAUCAUACAUGGUAGUCAUUCAAAACAAUGUCAUGCCACAUCCACAGGGAGAAAGUUAGGAUGAGAUGUUAUAAAUAUAUUUUAAAUAAGCACUUAAACUGUUAUAAAUCUUCCUGCUAAUUUUAAGUAAGUUUCUACCUGAGGGUCCAGAGGAUCCAAAGAAAAUGAAUAGAUUUUCAUUUCUCAAGUAGAUAAUGAUCUAAUGGGAGUCAUAGGGAACUCCCUACCUUACUCCUAGUGAAAUGAAUUGAGAAUCUGCUCUAGUAAAAUAGAGUGGAGCCUGAAAAGGGGCGAGAUCAGACCACAUUAAGACAUACUGUUUAAAAGACAUACUAUUAAAAGAUGUAAUAUUUUAUUGAUUCCUUGAGGCUUUCCAAGAGGUAUGCGAUGCAUUUUAAUCAUGUCUGUCCCUAACUGCCUUCUUCCAGCUACUCUUAGACCUUGCCAACAUGUCCCUUCUCCAAACUCUAUGUCCUUUAAGAUACUUAUUUAUGUCAAUCCACUGAUCCCAACUAGUGUUGCCCUCAUAUAUACAUGGAUAUGGGUCACCUCCAGGAACUUGGGAAAUGGGCAAGAGACUGUAUGCCU
rnacentral:lncRNA from 1 species